rnacentral:rRNA from 1 species
AUUGAACGCUGGCGGCAUGCCUUACACAUGCAAGUCGAACGGUAACGCGGGGCAACCUGGCGACGAGUGGCGAACGGGUGAGUAAUGCAUCGGAACGUGCCCAGUAGUGGGGGAUAGCCCGGCGAAAGCCGGAUUAAUACCGCAUACGACCUACGGGUGAAAGCGGGGGACCGCAAGGCCUAGCGCUAUUGGAGCGGCCGAUGUCAGAUUAGCUAGUUGGUGGGGUAAAGGCCUACCAAGGCGACGAUCUGUAGCUGGUCUGAGAGGACGACCAGCCACACUGGGACUGAGACACGGCCCAGACUCCUACGGGAGGCAGCAGUGGGGAAUUUUGGACAAUGGGGGCAACCCUGAUCCAGCCAUGCCGCGUGCGGGAAGAAGGCCUUCGGGUUGUAAACCGCUUUUGUCGGGGAAGAAACGGUCUGCGCUAAUACCGCGGGCUAAUGACGGUACCCGAAGAAUAAGCACCGGCUAACUACGUGCCAGCCGCCGCGGUAAAAC